UUUUGGCAUGGAUAUGAUAUUGUCUUAAAAUAAACAAGACAGUGUAUUAGAAUAAAUCUGUUCAAAAUUACCCUGUCAAGACAAGCUGUAGAAAAUGAAAGCAAAAGUAAAACAUAUUGGGGAACAAGGAAUAUACUUCUGGAUCUGCUCAACACCAAUCUAAUAAUUCAUAAGGUCCAGUUGCUAAUAUAUCCAUUCAUCCACCCCCGUCUCUUCCCCUCUAGUCUGAAUUCACACUUCUGGGGGAUGGUCAGAUGGGGUAGACCAAUGGCCCGUGGGCUCCACAACAAAUUUAUGAGAGUGGAAUGUGAAUGGCCCAAGGUGGACUAAGCAAGGGGAGACAUGUCUAAAAAAACCUAUGACUGAAUAAAAACACCAGACCCAAAGGAGAAAAUACAGAAGAAUAAUGAAGUCCUAUGGAAAUAUCCCAACACCCAUGAAUGUUUGACUUCACUUUAACUAUCACAUACAUGGUAUCUGAUGUCAAGUGGCUUCAAUCUCCUUAAAAUACAUGUGUGUGGUGGGUGAACUUAUUACCCAAUAUGCAGCCAUCUGCCCACAUUUCCACAUGUGCAGCCAUCGAUUUAGUCCUAUAAGAUUAGGAGACAUGGGCCAGAGGCCAAGCAAGGGGCCACUGACGCAGCCCUGCUCACCUGUAUCCAUGCCACACACAACACUGAAAACCUAGGAAAAGACCAGCCAUUUUGUACUGUGGAAUUAGCUCCAUUCUGGUCAUCUGCUGCAUAAGAUCAUUUGCUGAAGGAAGGAAAUUGUUUUCUGGUAGCUAGGUUAGGCAGUGUAAUUAAAUCGCAACAAUACAUUGGUUUGAAGCCACAAAGUCCUUUGGAAUGAAUUCCUACCUCUCUUUCGCCACUGUCCCAGCUUAGAUCUCAUAUUUUCCCAUCUGGACAAGCCACUUAAAUGAACUCCAUGGGGUUAGAUCCAUUUUUCUCUAGUGCAUUCAUUUCUGAAUGCACUAGAGAAAAUGAAACUUGGCCGUUCCAUUUCCAAAGUGUUUAGUGAUUCCCCGGAGUCUCCUCAGUGAAUGAAGCCCUUCAUCCUGAGAGUAGCCCACAGGCUCUGCCUGGGCACUGUCCCUCAUCAGCUUGCUUUCUCAGGGCUCCUAUACUCAAAAGAUUUUAAGCUUUUCAAAUUCUGUGUCAUACUUCUUUUCACUUUUAAAGUUUGCUUCACCAUUUAAACAGGAUUUUUGGGAGAUGUAUGGUUGUCCACACCCAGGCCUUAAUGAAUUCUAUCUAGCCUACACUGGGCCAAAGGCUUGCUGCUAUGACACGAUUUGAGAAGCAAAGGAAAACAAGGUUCAGGUAACUUUCCACGAAGAAGGCUAACUGAGAUUCUCCUCCACACCUCAAAGCCCACUCUAGCAGUUAAAGCAUCCUGAGAAAGUCUCAAGGUAAGAACUGACCCUAUAAUGAACAUUUUUGCUAUAAUGUACAUUUCAGUCCUGGCAGCAGUAUGUGAGGGUGGAGAUUCCCAAAGAGUGGAGCCACAGUUUUUCUAGAAAGUACUCCACCCAUGUGCCUGCAAGAAGCUAUGCUGUCUGACCAAUGCAUCUGUGAAACCUCAUUCCUAUUGAUUCUUUAUUAUUAUUAUUAUUAUUUCCACUCAGUAUUUAUUUUUUAUUUUUUUUCCAAGUUUUACAACUAGUUUUAUUUUUUUUUUCUCUUAGCUUGGUCCAAAGUCUUCCUCUGUCUCUUAAUAACUGUGUGGCCUUGGGCAGUUGCUUAGCUUUCCUGAGAUUCUAUUUUCUCAUGGCAAAAUGAAGAUAAUCAUAGUUUGGUCCAUAAUUUGCAGUCUCAUUCACAAAUUCCUCUUCUCUUUAGUCCUUCCUUCAGAAUCCUGCCUCCUGGUCUUCUUGCCUACAGCAUCUCUCUGUAAGCUCUACAGAAAAGGAACCCCUUUCUCCUCUCUCUAAUACGUUAAGCAAUUCUAGAGGACUAGUCCCUUGAUGGUUCUGAGAGUGUUCUCCACCACAAAAAGGGGGGUGGCUUGGACUCCAAAACCAAUGGGAUGGAUUCAAACGCAAAUGAUCUCUGGGGCCCCUCAUGUGCCUAAGUUUUGUGUCAAGCAUAUUUACAUUUUGUAGUUAAACCACAUUUAAUUUAAUUUAAGCCAUCCCAUCAGAUUAGUGUUAUUGUACCCACGCAAGGGGGAAUGAAGGCUUCAAGAGGCGAGUGGCAGUUCAAAUAAGUGAAAUAUGAAAUGUGCUCACUUUGAAGAGAAACUUGGAUUCAAGAUCUUCCUCUGUCUCUUAAUAACUGUGUAGCCUUGGGCAGUUGCUUAACUUUCCUGAGAUUUAUUUUCUCGUGACAAAAUGAAGAUAAUCAUAUCCAUCUCAGAAGAGUGUGACCAUCAGCGCAUGCGUAUGCAGGGCAGGAGCCCAGCCCCUCGCAGCCGCUCUAUCCAUCUCCGGCUGCAGUGCUUGUGUUGGGAUUUAUUUCUCAGUUUCACAAGCCAAUAGAUGAUACAUCAAUGAAAAUUGAAAAUCUAACAAGAGAAAAAUGAGGACAAAGACUUCAUGGAAUAAAUAAGGUGAUGCUUGACAUUUCUUGACGGUUUUCUGGGAAAAUGUCAUGCUGGAGUUAAGGGAGCUGUAAAAGGGCUCCCUGGUUUAUGGAGAGGGAAGCAGCUUAGCAGCCACACCUGUGUUCCAGAGCCCUCAGGAGACGCUGGCCGCUGGCUCUGUAACUAGAGAAGCUUCAAUCUAAAAACUCUGUGUAGGUUCUGAAAGCAAAAGUCUUGGUGUUUCCACCUGUCCUAGCAACAGGGUGUUCACAUGGCACGGUGAUGCCAGGAUACCAGUGCUUCUGUCACCAUGGUGUUCUCAGGUGUCUGCCACAGAGCUCCAUGAUGGAGGUCCAGUGCUGAGUCUCGGAGUCUGCAUGAAGGAGGCUUCUGAGGUUUGUAUUGAAAGAAUUUAUCCUAGGGAACAGCCCUGGAAUGAAAAAGCAUGGCCUCACAUCAGGAGGUGAAUGAAUAAGAUAAAAGACUCAUGAUUCUUCCCUACCCCAUCCCUCUCCUCCAUACCAUUCUCACAAUCUGGUGAAUGGUCUGAGACUAAAACGUGGCAUGAACCAAAGGCCAAUCUCAAUAAAAUCCCUUUUAGUUCUAAAUAGGGAAUGCAUACUCUUUUACUUUACAGUGUGAGAACAGAGAGGCCCAGGAGACUGUUCUAGGGGAAACCAUUCUUGACGCUCCUGUAAUGACUGAGCAGAGUCUGAGAGGAAGGAGGACUGCAGCCCAGCUUGAAGACAUUCUGUAGCAGUGAUACGAAGGUGAGAGUGUCUGAAUUACCAGCGGGCCUUCAGAUUGAAAACCUGACUGUCAUUCAAGACUUGGACUCUGUUAUCUUCUCAACUAGAUUCUCUGUGGCUUAUGCCCUGAUGCCUAGAAACUGACUUGGCUUCAGUGUUCGUCUGUGACUGAUUCCUAGUUGUUGAUGUUUGCCUACAACCCAGGUGGAACAGCAACCACUGGAUUCCCCUGUAUCUUUCCUCCUCUGCGUUUGGAAGCUCAUCCCUUGCAUGCACAUUCAAUUUCAUGUUAUCUAAAAAACACAGGAUGAAAAGAAACUCUUUCAGCAUAUUAUAUUUCUCUUCAAGAUG